UACGUAGGGGGCUAGCGUUGUCCGGAAUCAUUGGGCGUAAAGCGCGUGUAGGCGGUCCGGUAAGUCCGCUGUGAAAGUCAGGGGCUCAACCCUUGAAAGCCGGCCGAUACUGUCGGACUAGAGUCCGGAAGAGGCAAGUGGAAUUCCCGGUGUAGCGGUGAAAUGCGCGGAUAUCGGGAGGAACACCAAUGGCGAAGGCAGCUUGCUGGGACGGUACUGACGCUGAGGCGCGAAAGCGUGGGGAGCAAACAGG
rnacentral:rRNA from 1 species